GAUCUUGUUAUCAUGCCGAACUGAGACAUUACUAAUAUGCACGGCAAAAGGCGUCUUCUGGUUUUUUUCCAGGAUCUGCUCUAAUUCGGGAGUGGAGCUGGUUGCCUGAUGAACUUUCUGGGACAUCGCCUGAAUUGUACUUCUCAGCUCCUAAAUUUCCUCGUUUUGAGAUCGUUCUUGAUAUCCACGUCCAACGGCAUUUAGACCGCUCGGCCUUGUGUUAUUUGCUCGGCGCAUGGCGCUUGCGAAUCCUUCCGAAUGUUGAGCUGUUGGUUGACCUCGGAGGUCCGUGUAAGCGUUAGUGAGAACGUCGAACAGUUCGACAUUCUUUCGAUCCUGAGCUUGAAUUUGCGCCAGAAUGUUACGCAUCAAUGCUCCUGGAUCAUCUGGCCUUGCUGGUGGAGUCAGAGCUGGGCGUCCUUCCAUCCCUUGUACUCCUGGCUCCAAUCCCACGGUCGGCGUUGGUGUGUUGAGUGUGGGUUCGUUCUCCACGGGAUUGACCUCGAUCGGGUUCGUCGCGUCUUUGCCCUGCUCACCUCCUGUUGGAGCGACGGCGGCAUGCUGGAUCCUGUCUGGGGUGUCUUCCACAAACUCCCCACGGUCACUUUCAUUUUCACUUCGCGGCAUCCUUCCUUCUCGCAGAUCUUCCUUGGCCUUCUCUUCUUCUUUUCUUGUGGUAGACCCCUACCUGGCGCGCCAAUUGUUGGUGUA
rnacentral:sRNA from 1 species